rnacentral:lncRNA from 1 species
CCCCCGAGACCAUCUUUCUGGGCCAACCAAGCAAUGAAAAAUGAUAGAAUGCAGAAGAAGAAAACUUUCACUUUAUUAUGAGAAUCAUAUACUAGCUUAUUCCAUUGGUUGAGGCAGCUAGUAAUGUUGAGGCCGAUCGAAGCAAAGUUGACAAACCCUCCCCCAAGAAAUCAAGAUUAUUCUGUCAGUUGUGAGUAUUGUUCCAAUUCACC